GAUGAACGCUGGCGGCGUGCCUAAUACAUGCAAGUCGAGCGAACGGUCGAGAAGCUUGCUUCUCUGAUGUUAGCGGCGGACGGGUGAGUAACACGUGGAUAACCUACCUAUAAGACUGGGAUAACUUCGGGAAUCCGGAGCUAAUACCGGAUAAUAUUUUGAACCGCAUGGUUCAAAAGUGAAAGACGGUCUUGCUGUCACUUAUAGAUGGAUCCGCGCUGCAUUAGCUAGUUGGUAAGGUAACGGCUUACCAAGGCAACGAUGCAUAGCCGACCUGAGAGGGUGAUCGGCCACACUGGAACUGAGACACGGUCCAGACUCCUACGGGAGGCAGCAGUAGGGAAUCUUCCGCAAUGGGCGAAAGCCUGACGGAGCAACGCCGCGUGAGUGAUGAAGGUCUUCGGAUCGUAAAACUCUGUUAUUAGGGAAGAACAUAUGUGUAAGUAACUGUGCACAUCUUGACGGUACCUAAUCAGAAAGCCACGGCUAACUACGUG
rnacentral:rRNA from 1 species